GGGAAAACGAGUUUUGAUUUUGACAAGAAUAUUAUUAUUAUUAUUAUUAUAUUUGUGCACAGGCACGGCGCGUGAGACGGUGGCGGUGGUGAUAUUGGGAGACGCAGCGGGGAGAAAGAACAACAGUAGAACGCGUUAAAAGCAACUUGCUCCAAAUUGCAAAUACCAUUCCAGUAGUAAAUAGCGUGGCCAUUCCACCUUGCUCCUCUUCUUAUUUUCUUCCCCAACCCAAACUGUUAUUUUUCGGAAACCCUAGUUUCCUGCAAGAUGAACCCCUACGAUAACAGAUAUUCCAACGCCACUUCUUUUCGUGACCGUCGCAGUGAUCUGAUUGGAUCUAUGCCGCCGCGGCCUGUGGUGGGGCGCGGGGGUCCGACUCCCUACGGUGUUCCUUACGGUGCCCCUGGACCCAAUUUUGGAUCCGCACCCGUUGCCCCGAUUCCACCCUUUGUGCCUCCUCCUGGGGGCUUUAACGUAGGCCGAGGCGGUGGUUUUGGUGGUAGAGUGGGCAAUGGUCACGUGAGUGAUAGAAAGCAUGACAUAGGUCGCCAUCAUGGAGGUGGUGGAAGAGGUGGCGGUGGUGGAAGAGGUCGUGGCGGUGGUAGAGCUGGAGCUCACGGUUUUAGGGCCUCGGGGAGAGGAGGUAGACAUGGUAGUGGAUCUUCUAGGGAUGAUUUGGACAACAUUGCACUCCCCAAGCAAGAUUUUAGGAAUUUGGUCCCUUUUGAGAAGAAUUUCUACGUUGAGAGCCCUUCCGUAAGGGCUAUGUCUGAUCAUGAAGUUAUGCAUUACCGUGCCAGUAGAGAUAUCACCGUGCAAGGGCAUGAUGUGCCAAAACCUGUUCGGAUGUUUCACGAUGCAAAUUUUCCUGAUUAUUGUCUUGAAGUCAUUGCCAAUUUGGGUUUUGUUGAGCCCACUCCAAUUCAGGCUCAGGGUUGGCCCAUGGCUCUAAAGGGUAGAGAUUUAAUUGGCAUUGCUGAGACUGGCUCGGGUAAAACUUUGGCAUAUCUGCUUCCUGCUUUAGUGCAUGUCAAUGCCCAACCUCGAUUAGUACAAGGUGAAGGUCCCAUUGUCUUAAUUUUAGCACCAACUAGAGAGUUAGCUGUUCAAAUUCAAGUAGAAGCUCUGAAAUUUGGGUCACGAGCUAAUAUUAGAAGUACGUGCAUCUAUGGUGGUGCACCAAAGGGGCCUCAAAUCCGUGACCUUCAAAGAGGUGUUCAGAUUGUUAUUGCUACACCUGGUCGUCUAAUAGAUAUGUUGGAAGCUCAGCACACAAACCUGCAGAGAGUGACUUACCUUGUAUUGGAUGAAGCUGAUCGAAUGUUAGACAUGGGUUUUGAACCUCAGAUACGGAAAAUUGUAGGCCAGAUUCGACCAGAUAGGCAGACGUUAUAUUGGAGUGCUACGUGGCCAAGGGAGGUUGAAACUCUUGCAAGGCAGUUUCUGCGCAACCCGUAUAAGGUAAUUAUUGGGUCACCAGAUCUGAAAGCUAAUCAAUCCAUAAAUCAAGUUGUUGAAGUUCUAACUGACAUGGAGAAAUACAAUAGAUUGAUCAGACUUCUAAAAGAAGCAAUGGAUGGGAGCCGAAUUCUAAUAUUUAUGGAGACAAAAAAGGGAUGUGACCAAGUUACUAGACAAUUGAGAAUGGAUGGAUGGCCAGCACUAUCCAUCCAUGGUGAUAAAAACCAGGCUGAAAGGGAUUGGGUCUUGGCUGAAUUUAAAAGUGGCAGAAGUCCAAUAAUGACUGCCACUGAUGUUGCUGCACGUGGUCUUGGUAGGAUCACUGUGUGUUUAGAAACCUAGGAUUUUUGGUUUAGGUCUAAAACUUUAACCAUAGGCGAGUCAGCCGGCUGCUGUCCAGUUCCCCUUGAUAUAAUUUGUGGUUUGGGUGUGUGUGGGGCCAUAUUUUCAGUAUGUUGGAACUGCCUGUAACUUGACCAAAGGAUUAAUGAGUUGCAUUCAAACUUCAAAGAUGACAUUGUUUUGCUGCAGUCACUAGACUUGCUACUGUAAAUUUGGGAACCAUCUUUUUUAGAGAUGUCAAGUUAUAUGGAUGCCCGGGGGCAGAGUUCCUUGAUAGCCUGGAUGUUGGCUAUAAUUUAUUAGGUAAUAUAUCAUGUGAUAUGCAGUAAAUUUCGUAGGUUGGUUUAAUUCGGGGCAUUUUACAUGAUUGGCAAAACAAGUUAUGGAGCUGGUCGUCUUUGCAGCCGGGUUGACUCAUACAUGCUUAGUCAAUAAUUGGAUGUGGUAGAUGGCAGUGAUGGUGAAGCUGCUCCUUAUCCCUGGAAGGUUAAGAUGUGAAAGACAUUAAAUGUGUGAUCAAUUAUGAUUUUCCAUCAAGCUUGGAAGAUUAUGUCCACAGAAUUGGCCGAACUGGUCGUGCAGGGGCUAAAGGAACUGCAUACACAUUUUUCACACAUGCCAAUGCCAAGUUUGCUAGGGAUCUGAUUAAGAUUUUACAAGAUGCCGGUCAGGCUGUGAGUCCUUCACUGUCUGCAUUGGUUCGGUCAGCUGGUUCUGGUCAAUUCGGAUCUGGAGGAAAUUUUCGCUCAAGGGGACGAGGAAGCUAUGGUAAUCGGGGUUUAAUAUCAGGAUCCAAUGCCAUCCCUCUAGGUUCCAAGAGGCCUUGGCAGUGUCUGUAGUUGAUGCUGCCUUGGGCAAUUUCUGUGAGAGGGGUUUAGGAUACAUAUGCCAGCGUUACAUUUGAAACAACACAUUCAUUGUUAACCUUCAGGACCAAAAACAAUUUUACAGUGACUAUAGUCAAGUCAUGCGUUGUAAAUGAUUGAUACGUGUAUUGAAUUAGUUGGAAUGAACCACUGGGCCUACUAAUAACAACUACUUCGUCGACCAUUCGUGUUUUGAUUAUAUUUCACCGUUAGC